UGGCGAUAUGGGGAGCGGCUGCUGCCGGAAAGAGAUGAGGCGUCGGUGGCCGGUAGCGGGAUGGUCUGCCGCGGCUGUUGUCCGAUUUUAGUUCGCCAGAUUGUCUCUUGCCUGCUCAUGGAUUCAGUGGCAUAUCCAGAACACAAAACGAGCGCCGCAUAAGGAUGAGGAUUGUCCUCGCUGGCCGACGCGCUCCUCUCUGGACGGCGCGCACGGAAAGCCGCCGUCCCACCGGAGAUCCUCGCCGCCGACCAGAACUGCGUCUCAACAUCCUCGGGUGAGCGGCUGGCUGUGGAGAGAGGGGAGGCGGCGGAGGCGGGGGAAACCCUAGGCGGCGCGGUGCCCAAGCGUGUGAGAUCGUCAUCCAUGGCAUGUCUGCCCGUCCGCCUCCAGAGGUUUGCCACAUGCCCCUGUCCGAGCCUCCUGCCCUGGUUUGCUUACCGCCCUGAUCUCUCCUCCGUACUGCGGUGUUUGCGGAAGGUGGCCGGUGAUGUCCAGGACCUGUGCGCGGAAGAGGUUGGGCAGGGCGUCGAAAAACGCGACGGCCGGCAGUGUCGGCCGCGCCGUGGCCCCGAGCGGCCGCUGAAGUCGGUGGACGACCCGACGGUGCCCGCCGGCGUGGACUACCUCGAGUUGGUGCUGACUGGGGGAGGUCUCCCAUAUGAAGUGAUGUGAUGCUGCCACUCUUGCCGCUGCAUCGCUGGGAAGAGUGCCGCUGCUUCGGUGGUAUGAGCGCUCGGUGGCCAUCACUAGGAGGUGCGCCCAGUGCUGCUCCAACGUGACAAGCCUGCCAUCACCAUCAGAAAGAGGAGCGCCAGGCUUCGUGCGAUCGGUCACAAUUAGGAUAUCUCAGAGGUAUAAAGUUUGUCUGAUUCAAUGCAGGACUGCAGACCCUCAGAUCACCAUAAAGGUCCCAAUCAAGUGAUGCAUUAUUCAGAAUGGCGCAACCCAAUCGUCGUCAGCCUAUUGUUCAGGUCGUCAGCAUCGAUGUUACAAUGGAAAAGUAAAUUCCAGUAUGGUAUCUGGAAAAAUCUGUAAUACCGUCAGUCCGUCACUAUCUUAGUUUCCAGCAUGAUCAUUGUAGUUGCUUAAUAUGAUUCUGUACUUUUUACAUAUUCUGGUUACAUUUCACGGUGACAAAGGAUGUCUCCUUGGAGCUAUAAUUUCUCUUAGCUUGGAUAAUAAUGAAUCAGUCAACUGGUGAAUUUCUUACUGUUUUUUACUCUUUAAACUGUUCACUACUACUGGUGAAUUUCUUACUGUUUUUAAUCUCCAAAUUGUUCACUACAGUACUAUGUAACUAAUGAGGCGUAGGCUGCAUUUGAGCUGGUGAGGGGGUUAUGGAAUGUUAGUCCUCUUGAGUAGACUAUUGAUAUGCCUAGGACUUCUCAUAUACUACACGACGAUUUCUGCACUCCACAAGUAUUUUGUUUUAUCCGGCCGUUUUAUGGUCAAAAAAGUGUAGUUUUUGGGUCAAUUUGUCCAGCACAGCAUCUAUGCAGUAUUAUUCACCAAAGAAUUUGGAUUAAUUUAUACGACACUUCGUAUGUCAAGCGACCAACUGAUGGAUCUACCAGAAUCUAGGUUCACAUGACACACAAAGUAGCUUAGGUUCAGAACCACCCUUAUUUCAUUUAACUCUAGGAAAAAUUCUGUUGGUUGUCGAGCAUCACAUCAUCAGCUAGCACUAUCUGAUGUAUAACAAUGUUUCUCAAAUUCGGUACGAAAUAUCGGUUUCCGUUUGGUGUUGUGCAUACAUGUGUAACAACAAAUGUUCUUAACUUUGCAGGGAAUGUUUUGAAGCCCAAACUUGACCAGACAGUAAGUUUUAGUUUCCAUUACGUUGUUUCCUCCCUCGCUUAGUAUUGUAAACACCCAUAGCUUGGCACCAUUGUAUAAUUAGAGAGCAUUGUGUUCUCCCAUUUGUCCUGAGCUUUGCCACUGUCUGAAUGUCAAAACCACUAGAUAUUCCACAAGUAGUGCAUUAGUAGAUGAUAUAUUGUAAGGUGGAACUCAUUAAUAGACGAUAUAUUGUAAGGUGGAACUCAUAAUAGUCUAAGACCAUGCUUAUUUGGAUAGUUGUUAUGUAAUUGUGGAUUAUUGUGACUUCAGUGGCUUUAUUUCUGUACCUGCAUUAAGACAGUCAUUUAUUAUUUACAGUACAUUAAUACAGUCUUCUGAUAUUUUUUUGUAUGCAGCUGAAGGAAAUAUGCAAGGUGGGUGCAUACUGGGGUAACGAAGUAAAACUUCACUAUGUUGUUUUAUUUGGCUCAAAUAAGGUAGAUGAACUGUUUUCUGUUAACCAACUAGAGUCUACAUGACAUGAUGCAUACAUAGUUUAUCCAGGAUGAAAGUCCAACAGUGUAUAGUGAAUUAGCAUUGUUCUCAAGUCUGGACAAGAUUAUGCUCUGUAGGUACAAGAUAAGAUCCAGCCUAGGUGGCCUGCAUCUCCUUUAGUGGCACCGUGCACAUGUAUUUGCCAUUCAGCCAGUUUCCUUUAAUGUUAAUAGGAAACUUUACUUUUCUUUUUCCAU